GACGAACGCUGGCGGCGUGCUUAACACAUGCAAGUCGAGCGAGAAACCUUCGGGUUUCUAGCGGCGGACGGGUGAGUAACACGUGGGUAACCUGCCUCAAAGAGGGGAAUAGCCUCCCGAAAGGGAGAUUAAUACCGCAUAAUAUUAAAGUUUCACAUGGAGCUUUAAUUAAAGGAGUAAUCCGCUUUGAGAUGGACCCGCGGCGCAUUAGCUAGUUGGAGAGGUAACGGCUCACCAAGGCGACGAUGCGUAGCCGACCUGAGAGGGUGAUCGGCCACAUUGGAACUGAGACACGGUCCAGACUCCUACGGGAGGCAGCAGUGGGGAAUAUUGCACAAUGGGCGAAAGCCUGAUGCAGCAACGCCGCGUGAGUGAUGACGGUCUUCGGAUUGUAAAGCUCUGUCUUUUGGGACGAUAAUGACGGUACCAAAGGAGGAAGCCACGGCUAACUAC
rnacentral:rRNA from 1 species